rnacentral:rRNA from 1 species
UACGUAGGGUGCGAGCGUUGUCCGGAAUUACUGGGCGUAAAGAGCUCGUAGGUGGUUUGUCGCGUUGUUCGUGAAAACUCACAGCUUAACUGUGGGCGUGCGGGCGAUACGGGCAGACUGGAGUACUGUAGGGGAGACUGGAAUUCCUGGUGUAGCGGUGAAAUGCGCAGAUAUCAGGAGGAACACCAAUGGCGAAGGCGGCUCUCUGGAACGCAACUGACGCUGAGACGCGAAAGCGUGGGGAGCAAACAGG